UACGAAGGGGGCUAGCGUUGUUCGGAUUUACUGGGCGUAAAGCGCACGUAGGCGGAUCGUUAAGUCAGGGGUGAAAUCCUGGAGCUCAACACCAGAACUGCCUUUGAUACUGAGGAUCUUGAGUUCGGGAGAGGUGAGUGGAACUGCGAGUGUAGAGGUGAAAUUCGUAGAUAUUCGCAAGAACACCAGUGGCGAAGGCGGCUCACUGGCCCGAUACUGACGCUGAGGCACGAAAGCGUGGGGAGCAAACAGG
rnacentral:rRNA from 1 species